UAUCAUCUCCACCUGUCACAUACAAGACUGGGAAUAGAGAGAAAAUCUGACAAAACCCAGUAAGGGAGAGUGAAUAAAGCUAAUUAGAGACAAUUGGAGGGCAGGGGAAGCCAUCCGAUCCGUCUUCAGCACACGAAGCAAAGAGGGUGGUGGCAAGGAUGUCCAUCUGAGAAGACCCACCAUCCUUAAGGCAAGCAAUGCCGCUGCAUGAGCGACUGAAUUCGCUUAUCUGGGAAUCCAUUCCCAUCUGAUUUCAGAAAAGAAUUUACUCCUCCUCUUAAUUUCAGCGAUCAAGAGAUUCCACGAUCACUCUACCAGAAAGGAGUUGCUCUUGCUGAUGACGACCUGUGGGGAGACUAUCGUCCGAUUAAAGAUAAAAUCGCAACUGGCAGUCUAGAUCUUCCAACAAUAGACACUAAUCACAUUGUUUCAAGAAUAGCACUCACGAAACAGAGGAAGAUAUUGAAUCCGGCCAGCUAUGAUCAGAAAGUUCAGAAACUCCACCAUCACAUGCAGGAGCCAAGUAACAAUGUCAAUGUUGAUGCACAAACAGCAUAGCAGGAUUGGAACCAAUGCUAUGAAACUUUCGAAUAUCAAAUGGAAGUUGUUAAUGGAUCGAACUGGCAGCUGUAUUGGUGAUCAGUGUAGUAUUUGCCAGGAGAAGUUUGACGAAGAUGAGUGCGUGAUGCUUCGCAAGUGUAAGCAUGCAUAUCACCGUAAAUGCUUUAUAUAUAUAUAUAUAUGUAUAAAUGCCUCAUUUGCAUCUUUAGAUAUAUUAUUAUGUGUCACGUUUAGGCUGCUGCUUCUUUUAUUCAUUAUUUUGUAAUUGUUUCAGCUCUGUGCUCUUUUUGAGUACCUUGCUUCAUUUUUUUCUCAGAGAUGUUUUAGUUCUUGUCCCCCUCUCUUUUUUUGUACUUUCUUUUCUUUUUGUUAGUAAAAUAAAAUAGAGGGACGGACGGUGGCGGGUUCCCGGUUGCGACGGUCCCCUUUCUUUAUUGAUUGUGGGUGGGUGCUAGUCAUCCCAAAUCGGCUAUCGCAGAGGAACUAAUAUCGCAUAAUCCUCUAUUUAAUUAAAAAAUACAUCAAUAUAUUAACAUUGUCCCCUUCAAGAACAUCAAACCCCUCACCAUGGCUACUUUAAUGCGUUGUUUCUCUGUUAUGCGAUCACCAGUGUGUAAUGAUGAUGAAGAUGGGGGAAGAUACAGCUACGUACUCUUUUCUUUUUGGUGAACCUCGAUGAAAACAGGAGUAUCUCUUCAAAUAGAAAGAAGUAAAUUAUAUAGAGGGGAACUGUAUCAAAUCUGUCGACAACAUCAAUAAAAACGGAAAUUAAGAAGACUCAUUUGGUCCAGAUAAUAAAAACUAUGAAUGAUAGGUAGAGCCAAAUCCCACCAAAUAACUAACUCUGAGGAAGUAGUUCCAUAAUCUACUAAUACAUCCUCGGUUUGAUUCUCUUCACGAAAUAUACAAGUAGAUACGUGCUUCUUAUAGUAUUAAAUUGAUAAAUAAUGAUAAAAAAAUUUCAAACAUGGUGAGCUGUGACUUGUUAGUUAAUUAUAACUCAAAUAUUGUAAAAGUCAUGAAUUCAAUUCUCACUAGCAUAUGUAAAGGUGGGGAGGGCUAAGAGUUUUAAGGAAAAAAAAAUGAAAGUACUGUUUUGCUGGACUUCUAGUAUUUGUAGUAUAUCUCAAAUGGUGUCCUAUAUGUAUUUGAACUAUACAUCCAGUAGGGUUUGUUAUAUGUCGAUCAGGUAUGUUGUUGUUUUACAUUUACUCAAUUUUGAUCAAAAUCCUUCCUUUUUAUACCCUGCAUAUAUGU